rnacentral:rRNA from 1 species
AUUGAACGCUGGCGGCAGGCCUAACACAUGCAAGUCGAGCGGAUGAAGGGUGCUUGCUCCUGGUUUCAGCGGCGGACGGGUGAGUAAUUCCUAGGAAUCUGCCUGGUAGUGGGGGAUAACGUCCGGAAACGGGCGCUAAUACCGCAUACGUCCUUAGGUAGAAAGUGGGGGAUCUUCGGACCUCACGCUAUCUGAUGAGCCUAGGUCGGAUUAGCUAGUUGGUGGGGUAAAGGCCUACCAAGGCGACGAUCCGUAACUGGUCUGAGAGGAUGAUCAGUCACACGGGAACUGAGACAGGGACCAGACACCUACGGGAGGCAGCAGUGGGGAAUAUUGGACAAGGGGGGAAAGCCGGAUCCAGCAAGGCCGCGUGGGUGAAGAAGGUCUACGGAUGGUAAAGCACUUUAAGUAGGGAGGAAGGGCAGUAAGUUAAAACCUUGCUGUUUGGACGGUACCAACAGAAUAAGCACCGGCUAACUACGUG